GGCCUCAUAGCUCAGUUGGCUAGAGCGUUGGCUGUACUCAAGCCUUUCCUUGCUGGCGUGGGUUCGAAUCCCACCAAGGCCG
rnacentral:tRNA from 1 species